rnacentral:misc_RNA from 1 species
AUCCAAAUUAUGGCUGCACCUUCCUUAAUCCUUGCUAAUGCUUCUUUCAGAUUCUUGCACCUGCAACCAAAUGGUACUCGAAAAUAUUGCUUACUGAUGUAGUUAUUGUUAGCUGCAUAACCCAUAAGUUCACUCUCAUCGAUGUAAUCCACGCCUAUUGCUUCAAGAAUCCAGGCUUCAACAAAAUGACCAACUCGAAUUCUCACCAUGACAGGAAUUGACACUGCUCGCUUGAUUUUCCUGACGAUAGAUAAAUCAGGCAUGCGCUUUCCUUGGUGAACAACACAGCAAGCAGCUCCUCCUUCCUCUGCAAUUUUCGCUUCCUCUGCAUUGGUGACCUCAACAAUGACUCUUCCUCCUGAGAGAAGCAUUAGUUGCGCGAAUCCCACCUUCGCAGAGAGGAGAUUCUCUUCACCAUAAUUAUCACUAAAGCUGUCACCUAUUGGGACAUCAAUUUCAAUAUCAGACAUUGAACUGCAAGAAAAUUAAGCAAGAUGAAGAGAAAAAUGAAUGUGUUUGGGAAUUGGCUCAACUUGAUCAUCUUUAUACACCAAGAUUGCGAAUAUGUAAGCUAAGGGAAAAGAAUGAAUAGGGUGUUGCCAUGACAAAAUGUUAAAAUAUGAGUUUAUACAUUAAAUUUAGUGGAGGAGUAGAAGAAGGGAAGUAGCAAGG